GACGAACGCUGGCGGCGUGCCUAAUACAUGCAAGUAGGACGCAGUUGCGAACGGGUGAGUAACGCGUAGGUAACUACCUAUUAGAGGGGGAUAACUAUUGGAAACGAUAGCUAAUACCGCAUACUAGUAGAUGGACCUGCGUUGUAUUAGCUAGUAGGUAGGGUAAUGGCCUACCUAGGCAACGAUACAUAGCCGCCCUGGGAGGGGGAUCGGCCCACCUGGGACUGAGGACAGGCCCAGACUCCUACGGGAGGCAGCCGUGGGGGAUCUUCGGCAAUGGGGGGAACCCUGAACGCGCAACGCCGCGUGAGUGAAGAAGGUUUUCGGGUCGUAAAGCUCUGUUGUUCAGGAAGCGGUACUUAACCAGAAAGGGACGGCUAACUACGUGCCAGCAGCCGCGGUAAUAC
rnacentral:rRNA from 1 species